UACGAAGGGGGCUAGCGUUGCUCGGAAUUACUGGGCGUAAAGGGCGCGUAGGCGGACAUUUAAGUCGGUGGUGAAAUCCUGGAGCUCAACUCCAGAACUGCCUUCGAUACUGAGAGUCUCGAGUCCGGGAGAGGUGAGUGGAACUGCGAGUGUAGAGGUGAAAUUCGUAGAUAUUCGCAAGAACACCAGUGGCGAAGGCGGCUCACUGGCCCGGUACUGACGCUGAGGUGCGAAAGCGUGGGGAGCAAACAGG
rnacentral:rRNA from 1 species